rnacentral:rRNA from 1 species
AUUGAACGCUGGCGGCAGGCCUAACACAUGCAAGUCGCACGAGUGGCGGACGGGUGAGUAAUGUCUGGGAAACUGACUGAUGGAGGGGGAUAACUACUGGAAACGGUAGCUAAUACCGCAUACCAUCGGAUGUGCCCAGAUGGGAUUAGCUAGUAGGUGGGGUAACGGCGCACCAAGGCGACGAUCCCUAGCUGGUCUGAGAGGAUGACCAGCCACACUGGAACUGAGACACGGUCCAGACUCCUACGGGAGGCAGCAGUGGGUAAUAUUGCACAAUGGGCGCAAGCCUGAUUCAGCCAUGCCGAGUGUAUGAAGAAGGCCGUCGGGUUGUAAAGUACUUUCAGCGGGUAGGCGUUACCCGCAGAAGAAGCACCGGCUAACUCCGUGCCAGCAGCCGCGGUAAUUC